rnacentral:tRNA from 1 species
GGGCCUGUAGCUCAGCCGGUUAGAGCAGAGGACUCAUAAUCCUUUGGUCCAGGGUUCGAAUCCCUGCGGGCCCA